CAUGUAGGCGGUCUGUCAAGUCUGAUGUGAAAGCCCGGGGCUCAACCCCGGAAGUGCAUUGGAAACUGGCAGACUUGAGUACGGGAGAGGAAAGUGGAAUUUCGAGUGUAGGGGUGAAAUCCGUAGAUAUUCGAAGGAACACCAGUGGCGAAGGCGGCUUUCUGGACCGAUACUGACGCUGAGAUGCGAAAGCGUGGGGAGCAAACAGGAUCAGAUACCCUGGUAGUCC
rnacentral:rRNA from 1 species